rnacentral:rRNA from 1 species
AGGAAAUAGAUACCCGGGUAGUCCACGCCGUAAACGAUGAAUACUAGGUGUAGGGGUUGUCAUGACCUCUGUGCCGCCGUUAAACGCAUUAAGUAUUCCGCCUGGGGAGUACGGUCGCAAGAUUAAAACUCAAAGGAAUUGACGGGGGCCCGCACAAGCAGCGGAGCAUGUGGUUUAAUUCGAAGCAACGCGAAGAACCUUACCUAGACUUGACAUCUCCUGAAUUACUCUGUAAUGGAGGAAGCCACUUCGGUGGCAGGAAGACAGGUGGUGCAUGGUUGUCGUCAGCUCGUGUCGUGAGAUGUUGGGUUAAGUCCCGCAACGAGCGCAACCCUUAUUGUUAGUUGCUACCAUUUAGUUGAGCACUCUAGCGAGACUGCCCGGGUUAACCGGGAGGAAGGUGGGGAUGACGUCAAAUCAUCAUGCCCCUUAUGUCUAGGGCUACACACGUGCUACAAUGGUCGGUACAAUGAGAUGCAACCUCGCGAGAGUGAGC